rnacentral:tRNA from 1 species
GGGGUUGUGGCUCAGCGGUAGAGUACUCAUCUAGCACGUGCGAGGUCCUAAGUUCAAUCCUUAGCACCACA